AAGAGAACUGACCUAUGGAAUGUGGCUCCAUUUUAGGUCCCAGGACUGAGUCUUCUGUGAGUGCAAUUAGGAAGAAGAAUGGAGAAACUCCUGGGAGUGUUUUUGAUGAUUCUGUGGCUUCAACUAGCUAGUGUGAACGGCCAAGUAGAACAGAAUCCUCAGGCCAUGGAUAUCCAGAAAGGUGAAAAUGCCACCAUGAACUGCAAUUAUAAAUCUGCUAUAAACAGCUUGCAGUGGUAUAGACAAGAUUCCAGUAAAGGCCUUUCCCUGCUGAUUUUAAUACAUUCAAAUGAGAAGAAGAAACAUAGUGGAAGACUAAGAGCCACUCUCGAUACCUCCACCAAACUCAGUUCCCUGAUCAUCACGGCUUCCCAGACUGCAGACACUGCUACUUACUUCUGUGCUGAGGACACACAGUGUUCACUAGGCACCUGCAGCCCCAACCCAAACCCUGCCUGA